UUUGAAAGAUCGACGAAUUUAAUUUCAAACUUUGAAAGGUCAACCAAUAUAAUCUCCCUUUCCGAAAUCGAUAUAAUUUUAUUUUGACAAUCGAAUACCAGCUAAUGCUAUUAUAUCAUUAGUCUAAUUAAAUCCAAUUAUAUAUUAAAUAUGAACAUAUAAAUAAGGCGAAGUUGGGAGAAAAAGAAAAUCUGAAAUUGGUAGUGGAAAUCAGCAGUCUCACACCUCAAGAGCGUAAUAAAGGAUGCAGAUAUUCGUCAAAACCCUAAACGGAAAGACAAUUACGCUCGAGGUUGAGAGCAGCGACACCAUCGAUAAUGUCAAGGCCAAAAUUCAGGAUAAAGAAGGCAUACCUCCUGACCAGCAGAGGCUAAUAUUUGCUGGUAAACAAUUAGAAGAUGGCAGAUUACUAUAUCCUGAAGGAAUCAACGCUUCACCUUGUUUUGAGACUUAGGGGAGGUACUAUGAUCAAGGUUAAAACCCUUACUGGGAAAGAAAUUGAAAUCGAUAUUGAGCCUACUGAUACUAUCGACCGAAUCAAGGAAAGGGUUGAGGAGAAAGAGGGAAUUCCUCCGUUGCAGCAAAGGUUUGCUUUUUAUAACAUGAAACCAGUUUCCACUAACACACUGUCUCAUGGAGUACCUUUUUAGUUGUUGUUCGGAUUUGUCUUUAAUAAUUUUUAAAAAAAAUUCUAUGGAUUGUGAUGGUUUGUUUGUCUUUCUUCAUGAGCAUUCUUGUCACAUUAAUUUUCCUUCAUGCAAUUAAUCAGAGUGGCUUGCAUUAGUGAA